rnacentral:rRNA from 1 species
GGCAGCCGCCGCGGGAACACCGGCGGCCCGAGUGGUGAUCGUGAUUAUUGGGUCUAAAGGGUCCGUAGCCGGUUUGGUCAGUCCUCCGGGAAAUCUGAUAGCUCAACUAUUAGGCUUUCGGGGGAUACUGCCAGACUUGGAACCGGGAGAGGUAAGAGGUACUACAGGGGUAGGAGUGAAAUCUUGUAAUCCCUGUGGGACCACCUGUGGCGAAGGCGUCUUACCAGAACGGGUUCGACGGUGAGGGACGAAAGCUGGGGGGCACGAACCGGAUUAGAUACCCGGGUAGUCCCAGCCGUAAACGAUGCUCGCUAGGUGUCAGGCAUGGCGCGACCGUGUCUGGUGCCGCAGGGAAGCCGUGAAGCGAGCCACCUGGGAAGUACGGCCGCAAGGCUGAAACUUAAAGGAAUUGGCGGGGAGCACAACAACGGGUGGAGCCCUGCGGUUUAAUUGGACUCAACGCCGGACAACUCACCGGGGGCGACAGCAAUAUGUAGGCCAAGCUGAAGACUUUGCCUGAAUCGCUGAGAAGAGGUGCAUGG